CUCCCUCGAAAAACACAAGUGUUUCGAAGACCAAAAAUGCCUCGACUACCUAGAUUUCCUCUUCCAAUCCAAUCUCGGUUCCUCUAUUCCGGCACUCCCAUUUCUCCCCAAUUAUCCUUCCAUUUAGGAAAUGGGGAUUUCAAAGAAGUUUCCUUGAAACACUUUGAUCCCUUACAUCUAAGAAUGAUUCAAUCACGAAACGGUAAUUAUUCAAAUAAGAUGCUCUGUCAUUAUCUUGGAAGUGUUGAGUCAGAAUCCAGUGUUGCCAUUGGAGUGACUGGAUGUCCAGGAGAGUCUAAAGUUCAAAUCACACUCGUAUCAAGACGAUUGACGGCUCAGUACUUGCUCAAUGGUUCUUCCUCUGAAAUAUAUCAGGUCAUCCCUUCCCCAUGGAAGGCAAAUGCUAAUCGUGAAUAUGCUCUAAAUGAAACCCAAAUUACUUGUAAAGAGAUAAUUGUUCAAACAAUUGAAAAGAGUGCUCUCAUGGCUUCAUAUCAAUGUUCCGGUAUGAAUGAUUGUGUAAUCCCAUCUCUUCAUAAAAUGACGGUUAAGAUUGGAUAUGACGAGAGCCUGGAAGCAAAAGAGCCAGAAACACUUGAAUGGAUUUCUGGAGUCAUGACUCACACCCAAACAUUUUUAUAUGAUCCCACACUUCCCACAAAGAUUGAGAUAGAUGUCAUUGGAUUCCCCAAGAAAUAUCACGACAAUGAGUGGACAGCAGAAGAUUCCAUAACCACAGUUGAAAAAUAUGCUCAAGGAGAUACUGAGACGGAUUUGUAUGUGUUCCUAUGUGCCGAUUCCAACUUGUACGGAACAGUUGGAAUUGCCUACGUUGGUGGUCUCUGUGAUACAAAUGGAUAUCAAGUUUCAAUUAAUGAGUGGAGAACAACUGAGGCUGAGACAGCAAGGUGGUAGCCCAUGAAAUGGGGCAUAAUAUGGGUAUGAGUCAUGACUUUGAUAAAGUUCAUUCUGGAAAUAAAUGUACUGGGAUCAUGGACUAUGGCAAAACUCCAGAUACUUGGUCCUCCUGCAGUCAGGAUGAUUUCAAGAACCAUUACUUUAGCAUUACCAAAUCUGGGAAGGAACAUUGCUUGGAGGUUCUUUCCAACGAUUCUGGUUCGGUGUCUUCUCAUUGUGAUAUACCAUCAUUUAACGGGGAUGGAUACUGUGACGAUGAGAA
rnacentral:misc_RNA from 1 species